ACAACAUAUCAAGCACUUUGCUAGGUGCCAAGGAUAAAGGGAUUACUACGAAUUAUUAAUUGAAUUAAAGGUCUCACAGUCUAGUAAGGAAAGGCAGACCUCUGAACAGGAAUUAAAAUGCAGGCUGAUAAGUAUGAAAAUACCAGCAGUGUUAGGUACGGAAACAAACAAAGGAGAAAGAGAGCCGAUCUGUAUCUUGAACACAUUCUUAGCUGAUAUUAAACAUCUAAGUGGAUGCUGUCCAUGAAGUUUGUCCUAUAAUCGGAAAUCAAAGGAGAGGUCAAGUGUGAAGAUACAUAACAGGAUGUUGUCAGCAUAUAGAUGACAUUCAGAGCUGGAGGUCAUGAAGAGAAGACUCAGGAAAGCAGACUGAGAAAGCAUAGUGAUUGAGAGAGAAGAGGACCCAUGCGAUGUCUCAGCAGCCACCUGAAGAUUUUAUUUCAAAGAAGGAAUGACCAACUGUUCAGGUGUUAAUGAAGGAUAAAGUAAAAAUGCAUGGUGGACUUGGAAAUAUAGAGACCAUUGGUGAUCUUGACAAAAGCACAUUAGAUUCAAUGUGAAGUAACUAGAAUUUUCACUGAGUACACAGUGAGCCAAGACUCAGAUAGCAUCUGCACUUAUCAGAAACAAUCUGGUAGCCAGCGAUCUAGUAUACUACUUCACUUUUCAUUAAAACAAAGAAUAGUCAACAAAUGAAACAAUUAUUUUCACUGAUGGAAGUUCAAUAAGUAAGGAUGAGGGUGGUGGUUAUCUAUUUCUCCAAGUAAUACCAACACUUUCAGUAUUUUUAUCUGGUUAUAAACCUUGGAAGAAGGCAUGGAGGUAGAAUAGUGGGUUGGAAAGAGAAUGGAGUAGACACAAGGAGAACUGUGUGCCAGUCCUUCUCUACUUAAUUAGGCUUUUCUAGAGAUACAGAACCAAAUAUAGAUACAUGACAGAUAAGUAGACAGUUGUAUUAUAAGAUGUUGGCUCAUGCAAUAGUGGAGGCUGAGAAAUCCCACAAUCUACAAUGAAGAAUCUGGAGACCCAGGAAACCUGGUGAUGUAACUAAAAAGCCUAGGAGCCAGUGAGCUGAUGAUCCAGAUUUCACUCCAAGUGCAAAGGCCUGACAACCAGGAGAGUAGAUGCAGAAGGUUGAGGUCACAGCUUAAGUAUGUAAACAGAGAAGAAAAAUUCAACCUUCCUCUGCCUUUUUGCUCUAUUCAGGACCUCUGUAGAGUGAAUGACAUCCACUCACACUGUGUGCACAUAUGUGUGUUUGAAGGUGUUUAUGGGAAUCUGCCUCACUAGUCCACUAGUUCACAUGUUAAUCUCUUCCAGAAAUACCCUUAUGGACACACCAAAGAUAAUGC
rnacentral:lncRNA from 1 species